rnacentral:lncRNA from 1 species
AUUUUUAGUUUCUGUUGUAUAAAAAAAUAAAAACAAAACAAAAACAAAAAAUAAACAAGUACAAAAAAUAAAAAAAUAAAAACAUUACCAAACAUCCCCUAAGUGUCCAAAACGCUAAGUCAAGAUGCCAAAAUGGUAACUUGUGAAAUUCAGAUGCACAAAAUGAGUUAACCUCAUUUCAACAGUAUAGACGGAUUGAAAUAAGGUUUUGAGGCAUUUGUUACAAGGGAAGCUCAACAACUGUUCAUCAAUCGCCGACAAACAGUUGCAACGAUCACUCCAACACAGAGUAUCGAUUUUGAAGUUUUAAAUGCAAAUCUACUCUAAGAAAAUUGUAGAUUCAAAGCAAAACAACAAAUGUCUUAUCAUAUCAUUGAAUUUUUGAAGAAUGGGAAGAACAAUUUGCAAAGAGAAAGGCUCAUCAGAUUCCUCGGAGAUUGCUGGAGAAAGUGAAAUAGAGUCGGCGGUGAUAGAGAUGCUAUCGGUGAUGACGACAACGGUGCAAAAGCAGCAACGGACCGUGGUUUGCUUGCUAGCUCUCAAUUUCUAUC